rnacentral:rRNA from 1 species
GAUGAACGCUGGCGGCGUGCCUAAUACAUGCAAGUCGAGCGAACAGACGAGGAGCUUGCUCCUCUGACGUUAGCGGCGGACGGGUGAGUAACACGUGGAUAACCUACCUAUAAGACUGGGAUAACUUCGUGAAACCGGAGCUAAUACCGGAUAAUAUAUUGAGCCGCAUGGUUCAAUAGUGAAAGACGGUUUUGCUGUCACUUAUAGAUGGAUCCGCGCCGCAUUAGCUAGUUGGUAAGGUAACGGCUUACCAAGGCAACGAUGCGUAGCCGACCUGAGAGGGUGAUCGACCACACUGGAAGUGAGACACGGUCCAGACUCCUACGGGAGGCAGCAGUAGGGAAUCUUCCGCAAUGGGCGAAAGCGUGACGGAGCAACGCCGCGUGAGUGAUGAAGGUCUUCGGAUCGUAAAACUCUGUUAUUAGGGAAGAACAAAUGUGUAAGUAACUAUGCACGUCUUGACGGUACCUAAUCAGAAAGCCACGGCUAACUACGUG